UCACUUUGGCAAUGCAUAUACUAAAAUUGGAACAAUACAGAGAAGAUUAGCAUGGCCCCACGCAAGGAUGGCACACAAAUUCUUGAAGCAUAUAUUU
ensembl:snRNA U6 U6 spliceosomal RNA